GUGCCGCUAGCUCAAUGGUGAGAGCGGUCCGCUCAUAACGGAUCGGUUCACGGUUCGAGUCCGUGGCGGCGCACCA
rnacentral:tRNA from 1 species